rnacentral:rRNA from 1 species
GCGCGAAAGCCUUCGGGCGAGUAAAGCGGCGAAAGGGUGAGUAACACGUAACCAACGUACCCCUUGGAUCGGGAUAGCUACUGGAAACGGUAGGUAAUACCGAAUGGUCCUCUGGAUGGCAUCAUCUGGCAGGUAAACGGCGGCUUCGGCUGUUGCCGAGGGAGCGGGUUGCGGCCUAUCAGCUUGUUGGUGGGGUAACGGCCUACCAAGGCUACGACGGGUAGCGGGUCUGAGAGGAUGAUCCGUCACACUGGGACUGAGACACUGCCCAGACUCCUACGGGAGGCUGCAGUCGAGAAUCUUCCGCAAUGGGCGCAAGCCUGACGGAGCGACACCGCGUGUAGGAUGAAGGCUCUAGGGUUGUAAACUACUGUCACGCUCUAGGAAUGCUGCAGGGUUAAGAGCUAUGCAGUUGACCAAAGCGAGAGGAAGUGCCGGCUAACUCCGUGCCAGCAGCCGCGGUAAGACGGAGGGCACAAACGUUGUUCGGAAUCACUGGGCAUAAAGCGCACGUAGGCGGCCUAUUAAGUCAGAUGUGAAAGCCCUCGGCUCAACCGAGGAACAGCAUCUGAAACUGGCAGGCUCGAGGACGACAGGGGUGAGUGGAACUCCAGGUGGAACGGUGAAAUGUGUAGAUAUCUGGAGGAACACCGGUGGCGAAAGCGGCUCACUGGGUCGUCUCUGACGCUGAGGUGCGAAAGCUAGGGUAGCAAACGGGAUUAGAUACCCCGGUAGUCCUAGCCGUAAACGAUGGGCACUAAGUAGAGGG